rnacentral:rRNA from 1 species
AGUGAACGCUGGCGGUAGGCCUAACACAUGCAAGUCGAACGGCAGCACAGUAAGAGCUUGCUCUUACGGGUGGCGAGUGGCGGACAGGUGAGGAAUACAUCGGAAUCUACUUUUUUGUGGGGGAUAACGUAGGGAAACUUACGCUAAUACCGCAUACGACCUACGGGUGAAAGCAGGGGAUCUUCGGACCUUGCGCGAUUGAAUGAGCCGAUGUCGGAUUAGCUAGUUGGCGGGGUAAAGGCCCACCAAGGCGACGAUCCGUAGCUGGUCUGAGAGGGUGAUCAGCCACACUGGAACUGAGACGCGGUCCAGACUCCUACGGGAGGCAGCAGUGGGGAAUAUUGGACAAUGGGCGCAAGCCUGAUCCAGCCAUACCGCGUGGGUGAAGAAGGCCUUCGGGUUGUAAAGCCCUUUUGUUGGGAAAGAAAAGCAGCAGGUUAAUACCCCGCUGUUCUGACGGUACCCAAAGAAUAAGCACCGGCUAACUUCGUG